GACGAACGCUGGCGGCGUGCCUAAUACAUGCAAGUCGAACGAGAGCGCCCGGUGCUUGCACUGGUCAAUCUAGUGGCGAACGGGUGAGUAACACGUGGGUAACCUGCCCAUCAGAGGGGGAUAACAUCCGGAAACGGAUGCUAAAACCGCAUAGGUCUUCGAGCCGCAUGGCUUGAAGAGGAAAAGAGGCGCAAGCUUCUGCUGAUGGAUGGACCCGCGGUGCAUUAGCUAGUUGGUGAGGUAACGGCUCACCAAGGCCGUGAUGCAUAGCCGACCUGAGAGGGUGAUCGGCCACAUUGGGACUGAGACACGGCCCAAACGCCUACGGGAGGCAGCAGUAGGGAAUCUUCCGCAAUGGACGCAAGUCUGACGGAGCAACGCCGCGUGAGUGAAGAAGGUGUUCGGAUCGUAAAACUCUGUUGUUAGAGAAGAACAAGUGCUAGAGUAACUGUUAGCGCCUUGACGGUAUCUAACCAGAAAGCCACGGCUAACUACGUG
rnacentral:rRNA from 1 species